rnacentral:rRNA from 1 species
AUUGAACGCUGGCGGCAUGCCUUACACAUGCAAGUCGAACGGCAGCGGGCCUUCGGGUGCCGGCGAGUGGCGAACGGGUGAGUAAUGCAUCGGAACGUGCCAUUGAGUGGGGGAUAACGUAGCGAAAGUUACGCUAAUACCGCAUAUUCUGUGAGCAGGAAAGCAGGGGACCGCAAGGCCUUGCGCUCUUUGAGCGGCCGAUGUCAGAUUAGCUAGUUGGUGAGGUAAAGGCUUACCAAGGCGACGAUCUGUAGCGGGUCUGAGAGGAUGAUCCGCCACACUGGAACUGAGACACGGUCCAGACUCCUACGGGAGGCAGCAGUGGGGAAUUUUGGACAAUGGGCGCAAGCCUGAUCCAGCCAUGCCGCGUGAGUGAAGAAGGCCUCGGUUGUAAGAC